AUAUUUGCACUUGAGAACUGUAACAACUAGUGAGGUAUUAACCGAUGCGUGUCUACUGCUAGUUGAAAACUAUUUCUAAACCCCCUCAUAGGCUUGGGUUUUGUUUAGCCUUCGAGAAUUUUUGAAAGGGAUAUCUUUAGGGUAAAGCC